UGAACUCAGGUCUCUGUGAGCUGUGU
rnacentral:piRNA from 1 species